CGAUUUAGUCUUUUGUGUAAACAGUUAUGUCAUAACUUAAUCAGUUUUCCGAAGUUCAUUUCAGCAGCAGUUUGUCAAACAUGCGACAAAUUUUCUCGCAGUCCCAAUAACUAUCCAUUUGUUCUGGGAGUAGGAGAAGAGAACCGCUUUGCAUUUUUCCAUCAUAUCAGCUGCACAAUGUCUAACACGGGGAAAAAAUUCGUGAUAGGCUGAUUUUAAUUUUAUUCCAAAGUCGUUUGCUAAUAUCAGAUAAUAAUCGAUGGCUCAUUUUAAAUCGAGAAGUUCUUCAUAAUAUUCUGCUAAUAAGGGGAGCAGAGGAAAAAAUAUGAUUUCAAGCCAAACGGCAAUCGCACUCCCGCCUGGGGAAGGGGGUAUCGUUCACUUAUCCCCGAAGGAGGAAGCUCUGAUCAGGGGCGGAUCCAAGAUUUUGAACCAGUUCUCAUAUCAACAAAAAUUACGAAGGAGCCCUCAAAGUAGGAAGUUUUCAUCGAAACAUCUCAAAAAUCAUCGCGUCGAUGUGAUGAAAGAGAUUUUCUCCCAUUUAUAAAUUUAGGGGCAGCACACCCUUGCGUAGACGUUGUAGUCAAAUCAUUAAAAUCAAAUUUAUUUGUCUUCCUGAAAUUAACAAUUAUGUGGUUAGGUGCUACCGUUUUUUAUUCUUUUACGAGAUUACAAGACAGUUUUACCACGAACCAAAACUCUUUAUUUUUACUUUCGACACGUGUUUCGCUAACGAUGAUGUAAUGAUAACUAAUGAUGUAACUAACUAGUGUAUAAGGAGAUUUGUAACUAGCUUUAGUUUAGUUUUGAUCUUCUGCCGAAGAUGCCAACGUCUUUAGCGAAACAAGUGUCUUGAGUAAAACUUAAAAAAAAGUACAAAUACAAAAAAUGUAAAUACAAAUUUAUUUGAGGUAUAAUUGAUUUUUUUAUAUACGUAUAUAAGAGCUAAGCUUUUAUUCUUUUAAAUAUGAAAACAAAGAUAACUCCUAUUCAUUAGUAGUAGUAAUAAUAAAAGGAUAGUGUCCGGCGGGUAGGCUUAAAAUUUCCUUUCUGCCAACCCCUGAAACCCCGCCAUCACCACUGACCACCCUCUCCAGUUUCCCUAAGCAGGUUACCUGUCCUCCUAAUGAAGGAGAGCAGGCCUUCCCAGGUUCCUCUAAUUACUCUCGUGGCAGGAAUGGAGCACCCAUGGUUUCUCUCCUGAUCCUAACCCAUCCUUCGCAUUCUCCUAUAAAAUGAUAUCGAUAAAAUGAUGGACACACCCGCGGCACAGAGGGCUGGGACCACGCCUAAGAUUUGCAGAUGUCGGUUCAGUCUGCAAUGACCUGUUAGGACUCCGGUCAGGUGUGCUAUAAUCACUCUAUGCCGGGACAGCAGCCACACUAUACUAGCUUUAGUUGGAUUUGAUAGCAGUUUUUUGGCCUGUUCGCAACCGCUGUUCCUAUUCCAGUUUUUCCUGCGCUUUUGCAAUGCUCAGUCUAAAAUAUGGGAACCCCUAUUCAUUAAAUAAAACUUCUAACUUAAUCGGUAAAAACAUUUCGGUAGUUAAAUCUAUUACCAUUUUCUAGGGUACUGAAAAUUAAAAUUAAAUAUAGAAAAUACAUGGCUUCAAUAUCUCCUUAUUAAAUAAAAAAAAAAACAUUUUUUAAUUUCGUAUCCAGCGGCGUGAAGUGUGUAAAUGUCUUAGGAUAGCAUAAUGUAGCUAAGAACCGACCUAUAAAUUAGAUAUAUCUAGAUAUUAAAAAUAAGAUAACAUUAAAAAAAAUUCAUAAUUUGCAUAAAGGAUAAAGUAUAUUUUUAAAUCAAUUAUCAGAGUAGUUAGAAAUAUGCGAUACGUAAUAAUGGCAAAUCAAAUACAAUAUAAAAAUUAUAACUGGCUGCAUGGUUAAAUGCCACAUGCCAACAAAAAAAUAAUAACUUCGUAUGAUUACCAUUAGAGCCUAAAACUUCUUAGCAACUAUUAUAUAUUGCAACAGUGAUUAUACCAUUUAACUUUAAUUCAAUAGUAGUAUCGAGUAUCAAAUCUGAGACCUCAUUAUAUCUCCAAGAUAUUUUUACGAAUAUUUUUAAGAAUUUAUGCCAGUAGAUUAGAUUAUUACUUACAUUAAAUUUUGAGAUUUCUUUAGGACAGUCUAUAAUAGUCUAAAACGUAUCGCAAUAUGGCAAUAUUAAAAAUUCUAUCAGUGUAGCUGACUAUUUGCGCAACCUUAGGCUUAUCAGCUUUGGAUUAAGAAGUGCUGGGCUAACCCUCUUUUAAAAAAAUUGGUCAGACUCGGUGUGCAUUGGCUUUGUAUAGUGUCACCGAGCUCUACUGGAUAGUACGAGUAAAAAUCGGCACAACAAGAAAAUCGUAAAACUCUGUAGAAAUUAGAGAACAAUUUUUUUAAUAAUUUUUUCAUAUUUUGCUAUAAUAUUAUAAAAUUUCUAAUACGUAAUAUAAAAAUCUUCAUAACAUA